AGAGUUUGAUUCUGGCUCAGGAUGAACGCUAGCGGCAGGCUUAACACAUGCAAGUCGAGGGGCAGCGGGAUGUAGCAAUACAUUGCCGGCGACCGGCGGAUGGGUGCGUAACGCGUAUGCAACCUACCUUAUACAGGGGAAUAACCUUUCGAAAGGGAGACUAACACCCCAUAGUAUUGAUUUAAGGCAUCUUAGAUUAAUUAAAUAUUUAUAGGUAUAAGAUGGGCAUGCGUAUGAUUAGCUAGUUGGUAAGGUAACGGCUUACCAAGGCGACGAUCAUUAGGGGUUCUGAGAGGAAGGUCCCCCACACUGGUACUGAGACACGGACCAGACUCCUACGGGAGGCAGCAGUGGGGAAUAUUGCACAAUGGGGGAAACCCUGAUGCAAGCAACGCCGCGUGAGUGAUGACGGCCUUCGGGUUGUAAAGCUCUGUCUUCAGGGACGAUAAUGACGGUACCUGAGGAGGAAGCCACGGCUAACUACGUGCCAGCAGCCGC
rnacentral:rRNA from 1 species